GGGGCUAUAGCUCAGCCGGGAGUGCGCCUGCUUUGCACGCAGGAGGUCUGCGGUUCGAUCCCGCAUAGCUCCA
rnacentral:tRNA from 1 species